UCGUCCCCCCUUCUCACCCAUGCAACCCCCCACCCCCACCCUUCUACCCCAUCCGCCCCAUUCAGUUCCUGCCAGCAGCGCCGUCCUGGAUUUUUUUUUUUACCCCUUUAAACAGAGGCUGCUUGGUUUUCUGCAGCGCGACGGCGGGACACACAGUGAGAUUUAUAGAAAGUCGUCGGCUCAGCUGAUGCGUCAUGGUAGCUUUCGUGCCAAAAAGCGCUCAACUUCCAGGCGUUAUUUUUAACUUCAUUAAUGCACACGUGGGAGAGAGAAAAAAAAGGAGCAAGGCUCGAUUGCUGUAACACGCUUCCAGGGUAUGAUUUGGUCUUGUGAAGAGUAUGUUGGAGUGUGUGAUUCCCUCUCUCUGUGUGUGUGUACGGGUGUGUAUGCGGUGUGUGUGUGUGUGUGUUUGAGAGAGAGUGUUUCCCUCAGUGUGUGUAAAACCUUGUUGCCCUCAGGACAGGCAGCAGCCAGCAGCUGUUUGACGGAGGCACGGACCCUCCACCAGCAACCAGGGAAAACUCCUGGCUUUUCCCCCUUUUUUUCCAGUGUUAUUUUCCCAUUUGUUACAAUUGUAUAUGGAGCACUUUGCUUCUUGCAGGAGUGUUUUGCGCAUGUUGCACGAGAGCAGAAGCGCACCUGGAUGACGGUGGACAGGCUGCUGUCUCAGCUUUGCGCAACGCCGACUGUUGACUUGCACAUGUCUGCUGCUUUGCUUGUUUGUUUGUUUGUUUGUUUGUUUGCUGCAGGCACGCGGAGAUCGUUUUCUUUUGAUGUUGGUCUGCGGGCUUCUAAGCGCGAGGUUUGAAGAACAACAAGGCUGCUCGUUAUAUUCAUGUGGUGCCGGGCCUCCAGCCCACAUGUCAUAUGGGAAUGGUUUCCGUCUAGUUUGGCUGAAUAAAGGCGGCUCUAUAUGCUGGAGCCUAUUAAGGAUCGGUGGUGACGGAGCAACUGAAGUCUGCAGGGAGAGCGGCGCGGAUCAGUUUGCUCGGAGGGGAAAAUAAAGUCAAACCGUAUUUUGUUCGAAUUAGUUGUCAUUCGAAGAAAAAUAACAUGCUUAUUAUUAUUAUUACAAUUAUUAUUAUUAUUAUUAUUAUUAU